rnacentral:snRNA from 1 species
GUGCUCGCUUUGGCAGCACAUAUACUAAAAAAUCUCUAACAAUAAAGAGAAGAUUAGCAUGGCUCCCGCACAAGGAUAACAUGCAAAUUCAUAAGGCAUUCCAUAUUAAA